GUGGCUUCUCAGCCUUUUGGCUAAGAUCAAGUGUAGUAUCCAUUCUUAUCAGUUUAAUAUCUGAUACAUCCUCUAUCAAAAGACAAUACAUUAAAUGGGUUCUUGGAGCAGGGAGAUGGAAUAGGAAUUUUUGUCCACUCCACACAUCUGCAUUGCAGGAACAAUAUACCCCCU
rnacentral:snRNA from 1 species